CUCACUGGACACCAGAUCCAAACAUUACCUAGUUAGUCCUGGCUGCACCUUGACUGAUGAAAUGGAUUAUCUUAUGAAGUAGGCCCCUGAGCUGACCCCAGCGUCUGACCUGUUGAAAAGGGGCAGGGCCCCAAGAUAAGAAUUAGUAGCUGGCUGCUGUGCUGCUGACGCUGACAUACCCGCACCUCGGGAGCAGCACAGGAGCGCCUAUGGAACAGGCCCUGAAACUUCCCGAAGUUCUCCACCCGGCAUCAGAGCCUUCCAUAGACCUCACAGUGUCAUGGCCCCGUCCCCUGCCUUGCUUCUUCAGUUGAGUCACCACACAGCUGCCCUGGCCAGCUCUGCUGCCCAUCCCAAUCCUUCUUACUCUCUUGGUCAGCCGUUUCUCUGUCCUCCUACUGGACUCCGGCAACCCGUCUGGUGUGCUCCAGCCUCUCCCUGGUCCUCGGUUCUAGGCUCUGUCACCCUGUGUUGGCCCUAGAAGCUCAGCUGGAGCCCGUUCUGCUUUUGUUAUCCAAUCAUUCACUGACCCAUACACUAACACAUCACACACCCACUGCUCCCCUGCCCGUCUGAUGAGCAUUGGUUUAUCAUCUGUUCUGUCCAGGUCCUGUGCUUAAGGCUGGGAAGCCAGAAAUCAUGAAAAAUUCAUAAUAAAGUAAAACUAGAUUUUUUUUUGA